UCUUCAGAAGCUCAACGGUAGAGCGGUCGACUGUUAAUUGAUUGGUCGUAGGUUCGAAUCUUAUUUGAGGAG
rnacentral:tRNA from 1 species